rnacentral:rRNA from 1 species
AUAUUGGUCAAUGGGGGAAACCCUGAACCAGCAACGCCGCGUGAGGGAUGACGGCCUUCGGGUUGUAAACCUCUGUCCUCUGUGAAGAUAAUGACGGUAGCAGAGGAGGAAGCCCCGGCUAACUACGUGCCAGCAGCCGCGGUAAUACGUAGGGGGCAAGCGUUAUCCGGAUUUACUGGGUGUAAAGGGAGCGUAGACGGCUGUGCAAGUCUGGAGUGAAAGCCCGGGGCUCAACCCCGGGACUGCUUUGGAAACUGUACGGCUGGAGUGCUGGAGAGGCAAGCGGAAUUCCUAGUGUAGCGGUGAAAUGCGUAGAUAUUAGGAGGAACACCAGUGGCGAAGGCGGCUUGCUGGACAGUAACUGACGUUGAGGCUCGAAAGCGUGGGGAGCAAACAG